GCAAGUCGAACGAGAAAGUCACUUCGGUGGCGCUUAGAGUGGCGCACGGGUGAGUAACGCGUAGGUAACCUACCCUUUAGCUGGGGUUAAUCAGGAGAAAUUCUGGCUAAUACCGCAUACGUAACAUGACAUGAAAAAAAUGCUAGAAAUAGUGCCUCUCCUUGGAAGCACUUACUAAAGGAUGGGCCUGCGUAGCAUUAGCUUGUUGGUGGGGUAAUGGCCUACCAAGGCAACGAUGCUUAGCUGGUCUGAGAGGAUGAUC
rnacentral:rRNA from 1 species